GGCAGCAGUGGGGAAUAUUGGACAAUGGGCGAAAGCCUGAUCCAGCAAUACCGCGUGUGUGAAGAAGGCCUGAGGGUUGUAAAGCACUUUCAAUAGGAAGGAAUACCUAUCGGCGAAUACCCGGUAGACUGACAUUACCUAUACAAGAAGCACCGGCUAACUCCGUGCCAGCAGCCGCGGUAAUA
rnacentral:rRNA from 1 species